rnacentral:tRNA from 1 species
GCCGCGGUGGUGUAACUUGGUAGCCACAAGAGACUUAAAAUCUCUCGCCGCAAGGCAUGCGGGUUCGAGUCCCGCCCGCGGCA